rnacentral:rRNA from 1 species
AUUGAACGCUGGCGGCAUGCCUUACACAUGCAAGUCGAACGGCAGCACGGGUGCUUGCACCUGGUGGCGAGUGGCGAACGGGUGAGUAAUAUAUCGGAACGUACCUUAUUGUGGGGGAUAACGCAGCGAAAGCUGUGCUAAUACCGCAUAAUCCCUAAGGGGGAAGCGGGGGACCGUAAGGCCUCGCGCAAUUAGAGCGGCCGAUACCUGAUUAGCUAGUUGGUGAGGUAAAGGCUCACCAAGGCAACGAUCAGUAGCUGGUCUGAGAGGACGAUCAGCCACACUGGGACUGAGACACGGCCCAGACUCCUACGGGAGGCAGCAGUGGGGAAUUUUGGACAAUGGGGGCAACCCUGAUCCAGCAAUGCCGCGUGAGUGAAGAAGGCCUUCGGGUUGUAAAGCUCUUUUGUCAGGGAAGAAUCAGCAGCUCUAACACAGUUUGCGAAUGACGGUACCUGAAGAAUAAGCACCGGCUAACUACGUGCCAGCCGCCGCGGUAA